UUUCGGCAGGGCACGCUGACAGGUGAGGAACAGAGAAACCAUGGAGGAAAUAGUGGGGCUUCGAGAGGGCUCCCCCAGGAAGCCAGUGCCUCUGCAAGAACUCUGGAGGCCGUGCCCACGAAUCCGCAGAAACAUCCAGGAACCUGAGCAGUCCCCAAGGAAAGAGCUGUGACCCCAGUGUCCUGUCCAGGGAGCCUAGAGUGGCUGAAAGAGCGGCUGUUCCGUGUGGGUGAGGACUGGUACUUCCUGGUGGCUCUCGGGGUGCUCAUGGCUCUGAUCAGCUAUGCCAUGAACUUUGCUAUUGGACGUGUGGUCAGAGGUAAGGCCUCCCAGGCACGCACAUAGCUCGGGGCGGUGGGAUUCCUAUACACGCUUGGGAUGCCAGCUGGACCGCCGUGGGAAGUGAGGCAUGGGGGAGCGGCUAUGGGAAGCCAGGACUGGAGUUGAACCUUACUUAGCUCAUGACUUGCCAUGUGUCUUUAGGCAAGCCUCUGUGCCCUGCUGGUCUCCCAUCCCCAUCCCCCCAUCACAUCUGCACAGAGAGGGUAGAGCCUCUUUCUUCUACGCUUGGCUGCCCCAUUCCUUCUCUUCCACCUUGCUCUCAGCUCAGUGGUCCUUGAUCCUAGGCAUAGUUUUCUCCUCUACUAUUCACUGGGUGGCCUUGGGUCCUUUCCUAGUCUAUAAGUGGGCACCAUAGGCCCCUAGGGCUGAGGCUCUGGGUGGCUCCCUGACCACUGGGCAUCUCCAGCACAUAAGUGGCUGUACAGGGAGAUUGGGGACGGCCACCUGCUCCGGUACCUCU
rnacentral:lncRNA from 1 species